AGGGUUUGAUCAUGGCUCAGAUUGAACGCUGGCGGUAGGCUUAACACAUGCAAGUCGUGCGAGAAAGUAUCUUCGGAUAUGAGUAGAGCGGCGGACGGGUGAGUAACGCGUAGGAAUCUACCUAGUAGAAGGGGAUAGCCCGGGGGAACCCGGAUUAAUACCGUAUACCUCCUUCGGGAGAAAGAAGGCCUCUCUUUGAAGCUUUCGCUACUAGAUGAGCCUGCGUAAGAUUAGCUUGUUGGUGAGGUAAAGGCUCACCAAGGCUACGAUCUUUAGCUGGUCUGAGAGGACGAUCAGCCACAUUGGGACUGAGACACGGCCCAGACUCCUACGGGAGGCAGCAGUGGGGAAUAUUGGACAAUGGGCGCAAGCCUGAUCCAGCCAUACCGCGUGUGUGAAGAAGGCCUUCGGGUUGUAAAGCACUUUAAGCAGGGAGAAAAAGUUAUAAGUUAAUACCUUAUAACCCUGAUGUUACCUGCAGAAUAAGCACCGGCUAAUUCCGUGCCAGCCGCCGCGGUAAUAC
rnacentral:rRNA from 1 species